GACGAACGCUGGCGGCGUGCCUAAUACAUGCAAGUCGAACGCAGAGGCAGGAGCUUUCUUCUCUGGACGAGUUGCGAACGGGUGAGUAACGCGUAGGUAACCUGCCCGUUAGCGGGGGAUAACUCUUGGAAACGAUAGCUAAUACCGCAUAAUAGUUGAUGUUGCAUGACAUUCGCUUAAAAGGUGCGGUUGCAUCACUACUAGAUGGACCUGCGUUGUAUUAUCUAGUUGGUGGGGUAACGGCUCACCAAGGCGACGAUGCAUCGCCGGCCUGAGAGGGGGGUCGGCCGAACUGGGACUGAGACACGGCCCAGGCUCCCUAGGGAGGCAGCCAGAGGGGAACCUUGGGCAUGGGCGGAAGUCUGACCGGGCAAAGCCGGGGGGGGGGAGAAGGGUUUCGGGUCGUAAAGCUCUGUUUUUAGGGAAGAACGAGAUUUGGAAUGAAAAGUGCACACUGUGACGGUAUCUAAUCAGAAAGCCACGGCUAACUACGUG
rnacentral:rRNA from 1 species